GUUUUGGAUGCGAAUUUGGAGAAAAAUGGUGAUAAACAUUUUUCACUUUUGAUUUUUAGGUCAGCUUGGGUUGAUGCCAAUUCAAAUCUGGAUGUUGCUUGGUAAGGAGUGGAUGCUCACUGUUGCAGUUCUUCAGUAGAGUGUUGGUCUGCUGCUGUUCUUUGUAGCAUUGGUGUUUGGAGGCUGCUGCUUGGGUAUGUUGCUUGAGUGGGUGUUUUACUGCAGCUACUAUUUUAGGUAUGUCCUGGCUGCUGUUUUGGUUGUGUGUGCUGCUGUUUACACUCUACGAGAUUUCUAAAAAAGGUAUGGAUAAUUAACAGUAUUCCAAGAUCAUGGGAGAAGUACUUACUAGGAUUUUUCUUCAAACAAUGGAGUAAACAUGUAACUUUGAAUUGGAGAUGCUAAAAAUGAAUGCAAAGGAUCCAUGUUGGGAAGGAUACUCUAAAGGUACCGUUCUUGUCCCAAGGGCUGGAGAGGUUUCAGCUUACUUUCUAAUGCUCCUAUCACAGGAAAAUUUGAAUAAAAUAAGAUGUUUUAACAACUUAAUUUCAAAAAUAAUCUUCGUGAAAACUUAAUUCCCAAAAUAAGCGUCCGUACAUCCAAACUUAGCCUUGGAGUAAGUCGCUGUUACUAACAGCGACUUUAAAAAAAAAAAAUUUAUCUUUUUAAUUUUUUUUUAAUUUUUUUCUAAGUCGCUGUUACUAACUGCGACUUAAUGCGUUUUAAGUUUUCAGUUCUCAGUUACUUCCUCAUUCCAACCUACGAGAUUAAGGAGUUGAUCAGUUAACCUUAAAGUCGCUGUUACUAACAGCGACUUAAGGAGUUGACUGGUCAACUCGCUAAGUCGCUGUUAGUAACAACGACUUAUGACUUUUAAUUUUUAUUUUUUUUGUCUUUCGCCGUUAGUUACGACUUUCUCCAAGGUUAGGUUUGGAUGUACGGACGCUUAUUUUGAGAAUUAAGUUUUCACGAAGCUUAUUUUUGGAAUUAAGUUGUUAAAUAAUUUUAUUUUAUUUAAAUUUUCCCUAUCACAGCAAGGGUGAUGAGUUCGGAAUACUUUGUGGACCUGUGCUUCAUGAAGUUAGGGUUUUCCCCACUAUUUAGAUGUUAUAUUAAUUGUAAUGCUAUGCCUAAAGAAUAUGUAGUGCCAUUCUUAAAUUUCUAGAGCAAAACAUACAUGACAUCUGCUUAGCAUCUGCUAUUAAGUAUCAGUGAGCUUCAUAUGAAUUAUCAACAACCCACUAUUUACAGACCAACAAUAACAUGGGAGCAGAAAAAACAAUUUACAUUCAUACUUCACAAUAUAUGAACAGAUGGUUAUUUAUUCUUUAAAAAAUAUUGUCAUAUCCAAUAAUGUAGUACAUUAUUGUGAGAUACUUCAUAAAACUAGCUGCCUAUUUCAGCUCAUGGCAUAUGAAGAGGCCUAGCAUUUAGCAUAAGUUGUGAUGUAUCUCUGGUUAAACAUCGCUUCUUUGUAAUUUAAAGCAUUACUAUUUUUAUAAUCUAAAAUAUUAUCAUGAAACUUGAAAGUAUAACUUCGUACGCGGUCCCACAACUAGUAGGUUAAAACACCAACUCAAAUAGGUUAAAAUACCAACUUUUAUGUUAAAACACCAACUCCAUGUAGGUUAA